UUAUUCAAGAUAUGCCCUGCUCAAUGAUUUUAAAUAGCUGCAGUAAUUUGACUGUACAAAGGUAGCAUAAUCAAUUGCUUUUUAAUUAAAGGCUGGAAUGAAUGGGUUAAUAAAAUUAUGACUGUCUCUUUUGUAUAUAUAUAAAUUAAUUUUUCAGUGAAAAAGCUGAAAUUUUAUUAAAAGACGGUGAGACCCUUUGAGUUAUUAUAUAUUUGGGAUUUUUAAGGAAAGUAUGUUUUUACUGGGGUGGUAGAGGAAUAUAGUAAUCUUCCUUUUAUUAUGAAGGAGUAAAUUUUGAUAUAUGAUCUUUUAUUAGUUAAUGAUUAGUUACCUAAGGGAUAACAGAUUAAUUUUUUUGAAAAGUUCUUAUUGAUAAAAAAGAUUAAUACCUCGAUGUUGGCUUAAGAUUUCAAUUAGGUGUAGAAGUCUAAUAUGUUGGUUUGUUCAACCAUUAAAAUUUUACGU
rnacentral:rRNA from 1 species